rnacentral:rRNA from 1 species
GACGAACGCUGGCGGCGUGCUUAACACAUGCAAGUCGAACGAUGAAGAAGAGAAACGCGAACUUCGGUUCAAAUUUCACUUCGGAUUAGUGGCAGACGGGUGAGUAACGCGUGAGCAACCUACCUCUUACAAAGGGAUAGCCUCGGGAAACCGUGAUUAAUACCAUAUGACACAUUCAUAAGGCAUCUUAAGAAUGUUAAAGCUACGGCGGUAAGAGAUGGGCUCGCGUCCCAUUAGCUAGUUGGUGAGGUAACGGCCCACCAAGGCGACGAUGGGUAACCGGCCUGAGAGGGUGAGCGGUCACAUUGGAACUGAGACACGGUCCAAACUCCUACGGGAGGCAGCAGUGGGGAAUAUUGCACAAUGGAGGGAACUCUGAUGCAGCGACGCCGCGUGAGCGAUGAAGGAAUUCGUUUCGUAAAGCUCUGUUCUAUGGGAAGAAAAGGACUGUACCAUAGGAGAAAGCCCCGGCUAAAUACGU